AUGUGGGAGAUCAUGACUUGCUGUGUCAUCUUGCACAACAUGAUCAUCGAGAGCGAGCAAGAAGAACCAGUGUUUGACACUGAACCAUACUACAGGCAGGGUCCUCUAGCCGAAGUUGAUCACCAGUUAGCGGCAACCUGGACUGCCUACCUCAGUAUGCGUCAGGAGAUCCGAGAAUCGCAGGUGCAUCAUCAGCUGCAGCGAUCUGGUGGAGCACCUAUGGAGGCUCAAGGGCGACGCCGGGCGCGACAUGUGAUGAAAUAUGAGUUUUUAUUUGUUGAACUAUAUAAUUUGUUUCGAACUAUUUGUUGUUGUACUAUUUUCUUGAAUUAUUUGAUUUUUCUGUGA
rnacentral:rRNA from 1 species